rnacentral:rRNA from 1 species
UAGAGUUUGAUCAUGGCUCAGGACGAACGCUGGUGGCGUGCUUAACACAUGCAAGUCGAACGGUGAUGCUCCAGCUUGCUGGAGUGGAUCAGUGGCGAACGGGUGAGUAACACGUGAGCAACCUGCCCCCUACUUCGGGACAAGCCUUGGAAACGGGGUCUAAUACCGGAUAUGAGCGCCUGCCGCAUGGUGGGUGUUGGAAAGUUUUUCGGUGGGGGAUGGGCUCGCGGCCUAUCAGCUUGUUGGUGGGGUAAUGGCCUACCAAGGCGUCGACGGGUAGCCGGCCUGAGAGGGCGACCGGCCACACUGGGACUGAGACACGGCCCAGACUCCUACGGGAGGCAGCAGUGGGGAAUAUUGCACAAUGGGCGAAAGCCUGAUGCAGCGACGCCACGUGAGGGAUGACGGCCUUCGGGUUGUAAACCUCUUUCAGCAGGGAAGAAGCGAGAGUGACGGUACCUGCAGAAGAAGCGCCGGCUAACUACGUGCCAGCAGCCGCGGUAAUACGUAGGGCGCAAGCGUUGUCCGGAAUUAUUGGGCGUAAAGAGCUCGUAGGCGGUCUGUCGCGUCUGGUGUGAAAUCCCAUGGCUCAACUGUGGGCUUGCAUCGGGUACGGGCAGACUAGAGUGCUGUAGGGGAGACUGGAAUUCCUGGUGUAGCGGUGGAAUGCGCAGAUAUCAGGAGGAACACCGAUGGCGAAGGCAGGUCUCUGGGCAGUUACUGACGCUGAGGAGCGAAAGCAUGGGGAGCGAACAGGAUUAGAUACCCUGGUAGUCCAUGCCGUAAACGUUGGGCACUAGGUGUGGGGCCAGUUCCACUGGUUCUGUGCCGCAGCUAACGCAUUAAGUGCCCCGCCUGGGGAGUACGGCCG